ACACAGCAGGCCAGAUUGGACUUGCUCUGGUAAUUCUUUGCCAGGAUUGAGGUCCAUCAGACUUUCCCACUAUGAUAAAGCCUUGGUUUGGGAUCCAUAUCUUCUUCCAAUUAGUAUGCUUUUGUCCAUCAGAUUGACCACACAUCUUCUGCCAUCUGGUGGUCAGUCCAUGAGCUUACAAGAGGACGCUACACUGUUUGGAGACAGAGAGGCUGAGACGUCUGCCUUCUUUCACAUUUUGCUGCUACUUUCCUGAGGACGGAGUAAUGUCAUAUGAAGGAAAUUGAGAAGACUCCAAAAGAAUGUAAGCACUGUGCAGAAGUGAAGUGCUUCGAGCUUUGCAUUAGGAUGCCUGUCAGCUGCAUUAUGGCCCACAUCUCAUACUUCACUUCUCUCAUCGGCAGCUAUAAAAUCUUUCAUUGGGAGUGGUCACCAUGUCAAUGUCAAAUAUUGUCAUGUGCGUUAGAUCUCAAGAACGACAUGGAAGUUCAGUAGUAGAGAUCCCUCACCUCCAAUAUUGAGAAUUUCCAAUCUUCCUGAAUGUUUCCAAGGUAAGCAUUGUUGAG